UACAGAGACUGCAAGCGUUAUUCGGAUUCACUGGGCGUAAAGGGUGCGCAGGUGGCCAAGUGUGUUAGGCGUGAAAGCCCGGGGCUUAACCUCGGAAUUGCACCUAAAACUACAUGGCUAGAGCAUUGGAGAGGGGAGCAGAAUUCACGGUGUAGCAGUGAAAUGCGUAGAUAUCGUGAGGAAUACCAGAGGCGAAGGCGGCUCCCUGGACAAUUGCUGACACUCAGGCACGAAAGCGUGGGGGAGCAAAAGGG
rnacentral:rRNA from 1 species